rnacentral:lncRNA from 1 species
AAGUGGUAUAUAUUGUAAGGGUCUAAAAUUAAGUUCUAGAAGGCACUGAAUGGGAGGCGACAACAGUUUGGACCGACCGCGACCUGUCAGUUGGAAGCCAGUGGUCAUACAGUGAGCAACCCAUGUAACGGCAUUGUCAACUCGCCGUAGCGCACUUUAGUGACUUUAGCAUAGCUGGCAACCACUGCCUUUAUUGGAAUCAUCCAUCUUGCCGGUCUUGCACUGCAGCGACAUCGGCCCGCACUGCACAACACGACAUCAAACCCAACAAAGUCUCCCGCCCAAUGGCCUCGCUGCUGUCGCACCGCCUGAAGCUUCUGACGCUGGCGGGGCUGGCGGUGCUGACGUCGGCCGCGUACUACGCCGGUAAACUGGGC